AGCCUUCUGUAUCCGUGCUGAGAUUUCGUCACACACCAUUCCACAAUGGCUGAUGAGACUUC
rnacentral:pre_miRNA from 1 species